rnacentral:rRNA from 1 species
UACGGGGGGGGGCAAGCGUUGUUCGGAAUUACUGGGCGUAAAGGGUUCGUAGGUGGCCUACUAAGUCAGACGUGAAAUCCCUCAGCUUAACUGGGGAACUGCGUCUGAGACUGGUGGGCUUGAGUGCAGGAGAGGAACGCGGAAUUCCAGGUGUAGCGGUGAAAUGCGUAGAUAUCGGAAGGAACAUCAGUGGCGAAAAGCGACUUCCUGGACCAAUACUGACGCUCAUGUGCGAAAGCGUGGGGAGCAAACAGG